rnacentral:rRNA from 1 species
CAGCCGCCGCGGGAAUACGUAGGUGGCAAGCGUUGUCCGGAAUUAUUGGGCGUAAAGCGCGCGCAGGCGGAUCAGUUAGUCUGUCUUAAAAGUUCGGGGCUUAACCCCGUGAGGGGAUGGAAACUGCUGAUCUAGAGUAUCGGAGAGGAAAGUGGAAUUCCUAGUGUAGCGGUGAAAUGCGUAGAUAUUAGGAAGAACACCAGUGGCGAAGGCGACUUUCUGGACGAAAACUGACGCUGAGGCGCGAAAGCCAGGGGAGCGAACGGGAUUAGAUACCCCCGUAGUCCCUGUCUCUUAUACA